AUGAAAGGAAAAUCAUGCCGAGGCAAUCGUAUUUGUUUUGGUAGAUAUGCUCUUCAAGCACUUGAACCCGCUUGGAUCACGGCGAGACAGAUAGAAGCAGGAUGAAGAGCAAUAACACGAUAUGCUCGUCGUGGUGGAAAAAUAUGGGUACGUAUAUUUCCCGACAAACCGGUUACACUAAGACCCACAGAAACACGUAUGGGCUCGGGAAAGGGGUCCCCCGAAUAUUGGGUAUCCGUUGUUAAACCUGGUCGUAUACUUUGUGAAAUGGGUGGAGUAUCUGAAACUGUAGCUAGAGCAGCUAUCUCCAUAGCUGCCAGUAAAAUGCCCAUACGAAGUCAAUUUAUUCGAUUAGAGAUAUAG
rnacentral:rRNA from 1 species